rnacentral:rRNA from 1 species
CCCUUAGAGUUUGAUCCUGGCUCAGGAUGAACGCUGGCGGCGUGCCUAACACAUGCAAGUCGAGCGAAGCGAUUUGACGGAAGUUUUCGGAUGGAAGUUAAAUUGACUGAGCGGCGGACGGGUGAGUAACGCGUGGGUAACCUGCCUCAUACAGGGGGAUAACAGUUAGAAAUGACUGCUAAUACCGCAUAAGCGCACAGCAUCGCAUGAUGCAGUGUGAAAAACUCCGGUGGUAUGAGAUGGACCCGCGUCUGAUUAGCUAGUUGGUGAGGUAAAGGCCCACCAAGGCGACGAUCAGUAGCCGACCUGAGAGGGUGAUCGGCCACAUUGGGACUGAGACACGGCCCAAACUUCUACGGGAGGCAGCAGUGGGGAAUAUUGCACAAUGGGGGAAACCCUGAUGCAGCAACGCCGCGUGAGUGAAGAAGGAUUUCGGUAUGUAAAGCUCUAUCAGCAGGGAAGAA